rnacentral:rRNA from 1 species
UGGGGAAUCUUCCGCAAUGGACGAAAGUCUGACGGAGCAACGCCGCGUGAGUGAUGACGGCCUUCGGGUUGUAAAGCUCUGUUAAUCGGGACGAAUGGUUCUUGUGCAAAUAGUGCGAGGAUUUGACGGUACCGGAAUAGAAAGCCACGGCUAACUACGUGCCAGCAGCCGCGGUAAUACGUAGGUGGCAAGCGUUGUCCGGAAUUAUUGGGCGUAAAGCGCGCGCAGGCGGAUUGGUCAGUCUGUCUUAAAAGUUCGGGGCUUAAACCCGUGAUGGGAUGGAAACUGCCAAUCUAGAGUAUCGGAGAGGAAAGUGGAAUUCCUAGUGUAGCGGUGAAAUGCGUAGAUAUUAGGAAGAACACCAGUGGCGAAGGCGACUUUCUGGACGAAAACUGACGCUGAGGCGCGAAAGCCAGGGGAGCGAACGGG